AAACAGUGUCAGCAGAAAGUUAUGUAGCCAUUUUAAAUUAUGGUCAUAAAGGUAAAGUAGCAAUUUGGAAAUUGGUCAUAAUUUUAUGUCAAGGAAAGCAGUAGAUUAUAAAAAUGUAUCUGUACUAUGAAAAUAAAUAUUUUAAAAUAUGUGUUACAUAAUGAAAAUGAACAAAUGAAAUCAACUGACUAUUCAGAAGGAAGAAUGAUUCAUAAUAUUUUUUCCACUUUUUCAGAAUAUAUAUUGUUAUAAUGUUUUCUCAAUAAACAAUUUUUAAGAGGAACUAAGAGAAAAAACUCACAUGAUUCAUAUGAAAGAAAGAGUGGAUAUGACAAGUCUAACAAUGUAGACCUUUUAUAUGUUCAAUUUGGAGAUUCAUGGUAGAAUGGUUUCAGUUACUUUCUGGCUUUCAUUUUUUUAAUACUUGGUCUUUAAUUUAGGUAUAUUUUCAGUGGUGAUCAUUUUACUGAAUCUCUAUUGGCAUCAAGUUCAGCACUGCCUCCCCUGGUCCUGUGCGAGGCCUCCUCUGUGGAAAGCUUACCUCUGAAGAUGAAGAUGAGGUCAUGAGAAGGAUGCUCAUAGGCAGCAUCAAUACGGUUGGGAAGUUCUGGCCAAAAUGAUUUCGUUAAAAACAGCUCUGCAUCAACCUGCUGAGGAUGCAGGCGCCAGAAGAAUCUAACACAAAAGUAAAAUGGAGUUUUCUGUCACAUUUUUAAGUGCUAUAUUUCUAUCCUGCUAGUCACUUCUCUCCACAAUAACACAGAUAAGUUAAAUACAACCAAUACCUCCCACCUGUGAAGGGGAAAAAAUUCCAUUACCCUUUCAGUUCCAGUGGCAAGUUGUGCUAUCCUAACUAGCGUAAGGUAUUCAACUUUGAAAUCUCGCAGAGCCUUUGCGAGGUCUCUAAGUUCUUUGUGGGUUGAAAUUGUCUUGCUCAAUUUUGGGUAUCUUGCUAGGGGCAAACAAAUUUGCCAGGCAUUGUGUUGGGCUCCAGAGAGAAGAUAUGAGUUACAUGAACUAUGUCUUCCACGGUCUCAUGGCCUGGGAAAACUGAUACAUGAGAACCACACCCCGUCCCAUGAGUACAAUUGUAGUUAGAGUUAUAAUAGAGGGGGUAAACAUGCUAUUGGAUCACAGAUGAGGGAUCAAUGAAUGAAUGAAUGAACAAAUACGCAUACUAGAACAAUGUAGAAAUUAAAAUUUUAUAUUGCAUUUCUAGGUUCAUUUCAUUCUAUCUCUCGAAUUCCAACAUAUGUAUCCAGAAUCAAAGUCUUUCCAUGCCAAAACGAAUCCGCGUGGGCCUAACGAGUAACCAUUUAUUAAUACAGCAAUUACUUUCAAUGCUUGUCUGUUUUUAAAAUAAAUUGGAUUUCUAGAUUUUCUUGGUUAUAUUUACAAGAAAGACUAUAACUAGAGAUGUAAAAACAAGCUACACAAUGCCAAGGUUGUACACUGAAAACUAAAACAUUUAUCCAUCAGUCAUUUAUUUGGUCUGAAAUAUGGAAGUAAGCUGCCUGCCCAUUUUUACUGUUAACUUUGCCUUUGGAAGUCUGACAGGAUGUUUUGGCGAUAUGCAGAAACAGCUUCACAGAUGUUUGUUGCAUACAAACUUUAUGAAAGAAUCUCAAGAGUACCUGUCUUUAAAGAUCAUUGUUUCUCCUCGGAGACUGGUAAUGGCAUCAAGGGAUAAGGAGGGGUCACAUUUGUCUGGCGUUUUUGGAUGUUUAGGGUUGGGGUCUUCAUCUCCUGGACCUGCAGUCGUGAAAGGCAAGAGAGAAGUUAUGAAUGUGACAUUACUGAAAACCUGGGUCACAGCACAACAGGCUGAUCUGCUGAUGGACAGUGGGAGAGGGUUUUCUCCAGGAAAAGCUGUAGGUCCUGGGGCUCCUACAUUAUGGUGCAAGUACCAUGUAAUCUUCCUUCCUUCCUCCCCUCUACUUCCAUCCUUCAAGACCUCUCGAGAUUCUUUAGAACUAUAAACUUAGGUUUCCUGAGGUUGAUGAUAAAAAUGAGGGGAAAAAAGCAACAGACUUUGAAGAAAUUUUCCCUACACCUUGCACAAUCUAUUGAUAGACUGCUCUUGAAAACUAGACUCCCCUCAAAGCCAUUUUUGAUGGUGUAUUUCUCCUGCGAAAGCCCUCAUCUUGCCUCCUCCUCUUGACUAUUUUACCAGCUAUCAACAUCAAAUAAUGUUGCUUCACCAGUUUGCCAUGGUGCAGCUGUAUCUCAGCUGUGACAAGUCAGGCCUUCAGCACUUAUGUGACUUGCCAAAUGUUGGUAACUUUCCAACCAGCUCCCAUGAGUGCAGACGGGAUGGGGGUGCAGUACACAAUAAUAAUCCUACACUGGUUUUUUUUUUCUGUCUAGUUUAUAUUAGUUCUUUCAUAAGUCCCUGAGUCAUAAUAAUGUAGAAAUAAUAACUGCAAAAUAAAUUUGCAAAUUCCCUUUGCCAUCUUCAAUUCAUGCCCAUGGCUAUGCUAGUUACUGUGAUAGAUUCAAAUUUAGAAGGGAAAAGAAUGGCUUGGGUGAUGUGAGCAAGUUUGCUGAACUAUGUGCUCUAGAAAUGUUUACACUGACAACUGUGCACUGUGGCUUUAACUCUAUUUAUAACAGGUCAUCUAUAAAUAAAUAUUUGGGUUGAGGUUUACUUAUUUUGUAAAUAUUAUUGAAAAUUUGGGGGGUAAGUGAAAAGGAAGAAUUUUUUUUUUACAAUGGUUACUGUAGAUGUUGAUUAAAAACUACCACAGGCCACUUGAGAGGUUUCUACUGUGCCAAAUUGGACUGGUUGAAAGAGUACUUGGAAUUUCUAAAAGCUUUAGGAACUCACUUUCACCACCAACCAUAUUACUAUAGGUAUGCUACUUAAACUCUACAUGGCUUUGUUUCUUCAUUGGUUAAAUGGGGAAUAAAAUAUUUUUCUUUCUUAUUGCAGAGGUGUUUUGAAGGUAUCAAAUGCACAUUGCAAUGUAUAAAAUACAGAUACAGGGAGUUAUAGUCUGCAAAAAAUUGGAGAAUGAAGUAUUUUCUAUUUGAGUGGGUAGUUAGAUUUGGAAAGAAAAAAUGGGUGUGUUUUCCUAGGUUUUAGUAACAACACCAAGAAAGCAGCAUUGGCAGUGGUGAAUUCAGUUAGUAGAGUCAUGUGUCGCUUAACAACAAGGAUACAUUCUAAAAAAUGUGUUGUUAGGAGAUUUUGUCAUUGGGUGAACAUCGUAGUGUAUACUUACACAAACCUAGAUAUAUAACCUACUACACAUAUACGCUAUAUGGUACAGCCUAUUGCUCCUAAGCUACAAACCUGUCCAGCAUAUUACUGUACUGAGUACUGCAGGCACUCGUAACACAAUGGUGAGUAUUAAGUGUAUCUAAACAUAAGAAAGGUACAUUAAAAAUACAGUAUUAUAGUAUUAUGAAACCUUUGUCAUACAUGAACUUCACUGUACCAAAACAUCAUUAUGCAGCAUGACUGCUAUUUAGAAAAUAAAUGCAUGGAUUUCUUCUGCUUUUAUAACCAAUCAUAUUCUAUUUCUAUAACUGAGUUACCAUAGAGAGAUUGGAUCCCUUGUACAUCAUCAUCAGGAAGCAUAAAGUGGCUUUUGCCGGUGUAGGUGUAGAUGGGAAACAUGAGUGCUCCAGGAUCCUUGGAGUGGUCAAGACCUAAGGAGUGGCCGAACUCAUGGGCAGCAACAAGAAACAAGUUGUAGCCUGUAAGAAAAUAAAGAAACAAUGAGAAAAAAAGGAAUUCCAGUGACCAGCCUGUGCAUGAAGAAAAUGAACCAACCUAGCAAAUCUUGCAGACCAUGAGAGCAACUAGAGGUCGCAUAAUCUGAGUGCCAAUUCUUCAUCAAAUGACUAGUAAUGGGUACUGCUCUUGGCCUUCCACUGAAAAAUGAAUCCAGACUGGUUUGUGGAUGUUUUCAUUCAUUUCAGUUAAGUAUUUCAAACCCAGAAUUUACAAAGGAACCUACAUUUGAGGCUUAUUGUGAUUCUGCCUUAACAAUGCUCUAUCUUAUUCCUUCUUCCUGAAACCGUUCUUACCUCUGAAAUACCCAGAACAUAAAUAUGUAAAUUUUCACUUUUCCCUCCACAGACAGAUUCUAGGUAUUAGAGUUGAGACACUGAACAUGUAAGGCCCAGUUUUAUUCUUUGGAAAAAUAAUCUUUCUUGUUUAAAUGAAUAAUAAAAUCAGCUGUCUAUGAAGACAACCUCUACUUGUCAUAACUAAGUCCUAGUUAGAACAAUCUAUGGCUUUUCUUCCUAAAUUAACAUUCCCAAUUAUUUUGAGACUUGAAGAUUCAACUACUAACUGAUUUCAUUCAACAUGCAAUUUCAUUUUGCUCUUGUAAAAACAACUGCCACUUUGUCUGUUUCAUGCUGUUUGGGGUAAGACUCUGUCUAGAUUUUUAAGAAUGUUGUUUGUCAUAUACAGAUAAGACUGAAUCAAGCAACUCAUAUAAUGGGAAACAGAAAUUUGAUUGAACAUAUUUCUACCAAGGAAAAAAUUAUUUCAUUUCACAUCUAAUUCAUGUAUGACCCAUAGAUCCAACCCUGGUAGUUUUUAGUUAUAUAUUUAUAAUAAACUGUACUUCUUCAACAUGCCAAAAGGUAAUUUGCAGUAAUAACAUAUUGGCUGACAAACAUAAACAUUUUGGUCCUACUUCAGAGUUCAUUAGUAUCCCUCAAGCCACAGUGACAGAUUAAGUAGAUUUUGUUCAUUUUUUAAUGUUGAAUAUCAAUUUGUAGAAAUGUCACUUGUAGAGACACUAAUAUGUCUAAGAUAAACUUUAUUUAAGAAAAUAUAGUCAAAUACCAAAUAUAUUUAACUUUUAUGUGUUUUAACUUCCAUACCAGUGUGUUCACUGUCUAAUCUAACAACACAUAAAUGAUAUCUUUAUAAGAAACAUUACCUUUGGAACUACUUGUCCAGGUUUCAUCAUCAUCAAAAUGGGCAUCUCCUCCAUAAUUUGGCCCAGGAGGAAAAGCGUGAGCCAGCAGGCCAGAGGGCCCAUCAAAUGGGUAGAAGUCGCCAUGCUCUACACACAAAAGCAAGGGUUAGGAGUCUUAUCACAUCCAGGAGUACUUAGCACAGGUGUUUGGUAAAUUGGUGUUGAAUGCUUUAAAAAGUAAUGAAUGACUGAAAGAAAUAAUUUUAAAAUGGAACCAACUAAGAAUUAGAAUAUAAAAAUGUUUUAAAAAUAAAUGUGCAUCAUUACCCUUAGUUCCAAAAGAGAUCAUGAUGUCAGCAAUGCCAUCGUGAAGUCUGGUAAAAUUCAGAGGAGUUACAUCGGACCAAACUUUGAAGGCUUUUUUGAACGCCUUUUCAACUUCAGAAUGAGUCAUAUCAGGGGUGUAAUUCACAAUUCUAUUUAACAGAGAAAGUUUCAAUUAAGUUUUUGGAAAGUGACAGCUAUUUUAGAAUACAUUUUCUUGGUAUAUUGCUCUUCAAUUCAAAAUGCAAUAAUUUCUUUGAAAGUUCUACUAGAGGUUUAUUGUUUCAAAGAAUGUAUUAAUUAUGAUGCCAUACAAGAAUAAAAAGUCAAAAAUUCAGACAUUUGAGUAUCUCCGAAUAUCUGACCAUGUGGCACCUGAAAUUAAAAUUUUUCCAAAGUUUAAUGUAAUUUAUUUUGCAUGCUAAAAGUUUGAAUUACAUUGAUAAAGCCCAAAUAAAUGAAAUAGCUCUGUAAAGUUUCUAGAAAGAGUGGAACUCUUCAUCUUUAGAACCAUUGUGAUAAAUAUACCUAAUGCACUACGUUUGCAAAUUUUCUUUAAUCUA